UACGGAGGGUGCGAGCGUUGUUCGGAAUCAUUGGGCGUAAAGAGCGUGUAGGCGGCUAUUUAAGUCCUGCGUGAAAUCCUGCGGCUCAACCGCAGACGGUCGUGGGAAACUGGAUGGCUAGAGUGCGGGAGAGGAGAGUGGAAUUCCCGGUGUAGCGGUGAAAUGCGCAGAUAUCGGGAAGAACACCCGUGGCGAAGGCGGCUCUCUGGAACGCAACUGACGCUGAGACGCGAAAGCGUGGGGAGCAAACAGG
rnacentral:rRNA from 1 species